rnacentral:rRNA from 1 species
AGUGAACGCUAGCUACAGGCUUAACACAUGCAAGUCGAGGGGUAACGAGAGGAAAGCUUGCUUUCCUCGUCGACGACCGGCGCACGGGUGAGUAACGCGUAUCCAACCUGCCCCCAACUAGGGAAUAACCUUGCGAAAGUGAGACUAAUACCCUAUAAUUUCCUCAGAUGACAUCUGACGAGGAAUAAAGAUUUAUCGGUUGUGGAUGGGGAUGCGUCUGAUUAGCUUGUUGGCGGGGUAACGGCCCACCAAGGCAACGAUCAGUAGGGGUUCUGAGAGGAAGGUCCCCCACAUUGGAACUGAGACACGGUCCAAACUCCUACGGGAGGCAGCAGUGAGGAAUAUUGGUCAAUGGGCGGAAGCCUGAACCAGCCAAGUGGCGUGCAGGAUGACGGCCCUAUGGGUUGUAAACUGCUUUUAUACAGGAAUAAAGUUAGCCACGUGUGGUUAUUUGUAGGUACUGUAUGAAUAAGGACCGGCUAAUUCCGUGCCAGCCGCCGCAGUAA